UACAUGGGGUGCAAACGUUGCUCGGAAUCAUUGGGCGUAAAGCGCGCGUAGGCGGUUGCUUAAGUCGGAUGUGAAAGCCCUCGGCUUAACUGAGGAAGUGCAUCCGAAACUGAGCAGCUAGAGUACUAAAGAGGGUCGCGGAAUUCCCGGUGUAGAGGUGAAAUUCGUAGAUAUCGGGAGGAACACCGGUGGCGAAGGCGGCGACCUGGGUAGAUACUGACGCUGAGGUGCGAAAGCGUGGGGAGCAAACAGG
rnacentral:rRNA from 1 species